AUUGGAGGAGAGAGGUGAGGAGGCGGGGUUCGCGCCCGAGGAGGACUGGGAGGUGAAGCGUGCGGUGCGCGGAGAAAGGGGGCGGCUGAAGAGGUGGAGGAGAGCCGCUGAAGAGACCCACCAGCCGCUGCGGAAGAGGGAUUGCAGAGGAGAGCGGGGUGCUGGGAGCCGUGACUGACAGCCGGACCCGCCAGCCGCCGCAGAGGAGAACAGCGCGACUCUGUGAGAGGGAGAUGGAGCCACUGAAAAGACCCGCCAGCCGCCGCUGCAAGGAGGAGAAGCAGAAGCACAGACAGCACCACAGAGAAGGGAGCUGCCGGGUGCAGGGGAGACGGAGCCGCUGAAAAGGGGAGAGUGCCUGUCUAACACCUAGGAAAGCCGCAAGCCACUGUAGAGACUGGGACCACCCGGAGAGCUGGCAUCUUCUGGAUGAUAUGAUCUACAUGAAUAGUGAAUACCAACUGAAUAUGUCAUCUUCCCAAGAAGAAUGCAUUUCUUCAGAGGUUCCACAUUGUGCGAAACCAUCAUAUAGGUAAACCUAUGAAAAAAUGGAGCAUCAGGAGUGGAAUUUCCCAGCAAGUUUUCUAAACUUUGACCCCCCUAUAUCUCAAAAACUGUGAGGUCUAGAGAAGAAAAAAAUGACAUUGUUAUUGAUUGCAUAUGUCUAAUAUAAAAGAGAGAAGAAAGAGCUGAAAAAAAGAAGAAAUGUAAGGGAAACAAAGGGAAGUAGAAAGAAGAGAAGAAGAAUAAGACAAAAUAGUAAAGAAUCUGGUCAUCAGGCAGUCUUCGAAGUAAUAAAAGCCUAAAAAGCACUUAUGUAUCUGCACUUUUGUUUCAUGUGGUAGAGAAUCUAUAUAUUUGUCCCAUAAUAAGAACAUUUUUUUUUUUUACAGGUUUCUUUGUACAACAAAGUUUCUAUCCAGUACAUUUUAAAGAUAAUUUUUUUUUCCCUGGAACAUUGUAAUACUAGGAGGAGUAGGAGAGAUCCACUGAUGUAAGAUACACUUAUGGGCUACUGCCGAAAUGAAAAGUUUCUUUGAUGGAAAAGAUAGUUUCAUGUUUGCACUUAAAAUUCCCAAUACCGCCCAUUCAGGUGUUAAUUAACAAUCCUGUGAUAUGUUAGAGACUAUGGAGGUCAUUCCGAGUCGUUCGCUCGGAAAAUUUCUUCGCAUCGCAGCGUUUUUCCGCUUAGUGCGCAUGCGCAAUGUCCGCACUGCGACUGCGCCAAGUAAAUUUGCUAUGAAGUUUGGAUUUUUACU